UACGUAGGGUGCGAGCGUUGUCCGGAAUUAUUGGGCGUAAAGAGCUCGUAGGCGGUUUGUCGCGUCUGCUGUGAAAUCCCGAGGCUCAACCUCGGGCCUGCAGUGGGUACGGGCAGACUUGAGUGGUGUAGGGGAGACUGGAAUUCCUGGUGUAGCGGUGGAAUGCGCAGGAUAUCAGGAGGAACACCGGUGGCGAAGGCGGGUCUCGUGGGCAGUGAACUGACGCUGAGGAGCGAA
rnacentral:rRNA from 1 species